CCGCGCGGGACGAGCGGCGCCACUCAACGGCGCCGAGGGUUCUGCGGGAAAACCGGCGCUGCCCCGGCGUUACCGCGCAGCCGUGAGGCGUCUCCAGCCGGAGGAACCGGGCUGCCUCCGCCAGGAGCGGGAGGAAAAUGGCUCAAACAAUUGUACCAGCAACAUCCAACCAUGAUGAGGAAUCAUUAGAAAGCAGAAUGGUGGUUACAUUCCUCAUGUCAGGACUUGAAUCAAUGUGUAAUGAGCUUUCCAAGUCCAAGGCAGAAAUUGUCUGUAUUGGUGUAUAUGCAAGACACUUUUUUGUAGUUGGAACUGAGAGAGGAAAAGCCUUUGUCAACUUUAGGGAAGAUAUUAAGAAGGAUUUUACUGAAUACUGCAUUAAAGAGGACAGGCCUGCAGAACUGCAGAGAACAAAGACUACACCACCUGUAAACAGACAGAGGGUGGAUGCUGAGGAGCUGGAGACUCUUAGAAAGUCUGUGGAAGACUUUUUCUGCUUAUGCUAUGGUAAUGCUUUAGGAGAGUCAGCAGCGGUACCUGUGCCAUAUGAAGAGAUUCAGAGCAACCAGUCUGUUGUGAUAGUGCAGGGUCUGCCUGAAGGAAUCACAUUUAAACAUCCAUCAAAUUAUGAUCUUCCCACCCUGAAAUGGAUUUUGAAAAACAAAUCAGAGAUCUCAUUUACUAUCAACAGGCCUUUCCUGAAACCAGUGAACCACAUAGAAGCUGAUACGACAGAUCCUUCACACUCAGUUACACCUCCAGGUGGAAGUUGUCCUCCUGUUAAUGUGAAAACAGAACCAAGCAAGGAUUCUGACACCAACGAGGAUCUUGGAAUUUCUUCCAGAAAGUCGACAGGAACACUGAAGCAGGAAACAGAUGAUCCUAACUACUAUCAGUUUAAUACUCCAGCAGGCCCUUCCAAAACAUCAGAGACAGAUGAAAAAAUUCCUCCUGGAAUAAGUUACACAGAUUCCUCCCAGCAGGAUGCAUCAGAAACAAGUGAGGAUUCUGAGGCUGAAUUCACUAGUGGAGCUGCUGAUGAUGAUGAUGAUUACUUACAUCCAGACAAUAGACUGCAGAGCACCACGCCAGCUAAUGAAGCUGCCGAUACUGAAAGACAACCAGAAGAGUUCAGUUUUGACUCCUCCCAGCAUGAUGCAUUAGAAGCUAUUGAGAAACCUGAGGUUGAAGUCACCAUUGAAGAUGAUGAUGAUGACUACCUGGUCCCUGACAAGAGAUUGCAGAGCAGCAAGUCAGCUAAUGAAGCUGCCAAUACUGGGAAAAGAAAAACAAACGAGCUCCAUUCAGAUUCCUCCCAGCAUGACUCGUCAGAAACAAGUGAGGAUUCUGAGGCUGAAGUAUCUAGUGAAGAUGAUGAUGAUGAUGAUGAUGAGUACCUGCCCCCUAGCAAGAGACCGAGGAGCAGCAGCAGACGGCGGCUGACUAAUGAAGCUGCCAGUAGUGGUAGAAGAAGAGCAAAAACGUUCAAUCGCAGUUCCUCCCAGCAUGAUUCAUCAGGAACAAGUGAGAAAAUUGAGGUUGAGGUCACAGUCGAUGAUGAUGACCAUGACUUCCUAUUCCUUGACAAGAGUCUGCAGAGUAACAAGUCUGCUAAUGAAGCUGGCAAUAUUGAGAGGAGUGAUGCAGAAGAAUUUAGUUUUGAUUCCUCUUUCCAUGUCGCAUCAGAAACAAGUGAGAAACCUGAGGUUGAGGUCACCAUUGAAGAUGAUGACCAUGACUUCAUAUCUCCUGACAAGAGUCUGCAGAGGAGCAAGUCUGCUAAUGAAACUGCCAAUAGUGAGAGAAAUGAAGCAGAAGAAUGCAAUUCAGAUUCCUCCCAGCAUGACUCGUCAGAAACAAGUGAGGAUUCUGAGGCUGAAUUCACUAGUGGAGAUGAUGACCUUGAUUAUGUACCCCGUAAGAAGAAAGUGAAGAGAACCAAGUCGGCUAAUGAAGAUGCCGAUAGUGAGACAAGUAGAACAAAAGAGUUCAAUUUUGACAAAUGGAACGUACGAAUUUCAGACUUGAGAAGGGAAGUUGAAGAGGUGUUUGAAAAAAGAUAUGCUGAAGCUAUAAAAGCAGAAGGUCCAGUGUCUAUCCCAUAUGGAGCGUUUCAGUCACAUUCAAAACACUUGGUUGUGGAAGGGCUGCCAGAAGGGAUUCCCUUCAGACGUCCGACCACGUACGGCAUUCCCCGACUGGAGAGGAUACUCCUGGUAAAGGACCAGAUCCGCUUUGUGAUUAAAAAGCCUGAACUUCUGAGAUCAACAGAUGCUCCCGUGGACAAGGAAGGUUCAGAAGUCUCAAGUACAGUGAAAGAGGAGUGGUAUGCCAGAAUCACCAAACUGAGAAAGACAGUAGAUCAACUUUUCUGUAAACAGUUUGCCAAGGCUUUGGGGAGUGAUGAGCCCAAAACUGUUCCAUACAAGAAAUUUGAAGCUCAUCCAGCUGACCUUUAUGUUGAAGGGCUGCCAGAAAAUGUCCCCUUUAGGAGUCCCUCCUGGUAUGGAAUCCCUUGCCUUGAACAAAUAAUUCAAGCAGGCGACAGAAUAAAGUUUGUGAUCAAAAGGCCAGAGCUGCUAACUCACACUUCAGUCGAAGUUGUUCGCUCCAGGUCGAGCGUUCAAGCGAGAGAAGAUUGGAAUUCUAAGAUUACAAAGCUAAGAAAGGAAGUAGAAGAUUUAUUUAGUGUGAAGUUUGGUGAAGCUCUGGGGCUUUCAGAGUCAGUGAAAGUUCCCUAUUCUGUAUUUGAAUCAAACCCUGAAUCCUUGGUCGUUGAAGGCUUGCCAGAAGGAGUUCCUUUCCGGAGUCCCACAUGGUUUGGAAUUCCACGCCUUGAAAGAAUCAUCCGUGGGAGUCGCAAAAUCAAAUUUGUUAUUAAGAAGCCUGAGCUUAUCAAUUCCCAUUUGCCUCUAAGAGUGGUUAAUAAACUAAAGAAAAAAGAUGUUAGUCCAAGGAGUUCCAGAAGGUCACGAAGUUCAUCAGAAAAUUCAAGUGUCGCAGAGAUUGAAGUUACUGUUGAAGCCAGUCCUACUAAAGCACAAACAAAAGAUGGUCAAACUAAUUCUCAAACCAAUGACUUCAGGCAAAAUGGAAGAGAGUUUUCUUUUGAGGCAUGGAAUUCCAGAAUCAGUACCUUAAAGCAGAAAGUUGAAAAUCUUUUUAGUGAAAAAUGUGGGCAAGCUCUGGGACUCAGUGAGCCAGUGAGGGUGCCAUAUGCACUGUUUGAUUCCUUCCCAGAGGAUUUCUAUGUGGAAGGACUACCUGAGGGAGUGCCCUUCCGCCAACCUGCGACUUUUGGGAUUCCAAGACUAGAGAAGAUCCUGAGAAAUAAAUCUAAAAUAAAAUUUAUUCUUAAAAAGCCUGAGAUGGUUGAGGAAGCUAUCAAAGAAGAGGCUUCUACAAGCCCCCAAGGAAAAAAUAAUUCCCCCAGUAAAGCUGAUAAAGCAAGGACCACAGAAAACACAGCUGCACGUGUUGAAGACCUCAACAUCGUUCAAGUAACUGUACCAGGUGAAGAAAGUGAGCGAGUGCCAAAAGAAAAUGCCAGACAAUUGAGAGAGCAAGUAAAUGAACUUUUUAGCCAGAAAUUUGGUGAAGCCACUGGUAUGAAUUUUCCUGUGAAAGUUCCAUACAGAAAAAUCACUAACAACCCUGGCUGUAUUUUGGUGGAUGGAAUGCCUCCAGGUGUGGCAUUUAAAGCACCCAGUUAUCUGGAAAUCAGCUCAAUGAAGAAGAUUUUGGAAUCAGCAGAGUUUAUCAAGUUUACUGUCACUAGACCAUUUCCAGGACUUGUCAUUAACAAUCAGCUCUUGGAAGAAGCUGAAGCAGAAGCACCAGCACCAGCAGCAACCACAGAGCCAGCUAAACCAAACAAAGUAGAAGUAUCUCUAGAAGGAAAAAACCAUUUUCCAUCCAACAUCAUAUUCUCUGCAGAAAGAACAGAAUCAGGCUCUGGGUCAUAUGGACAGUGCUACACAGACACAAGAUUCCUUUGAUUUACCUCCAAGUAUCCCUGCAAUGAAUAAAACUGUAUCAAAAGAUAACACAGAAACAGAAGAAAAUUCUCAAAUUAAGCAAGAUCCAAACCUGAUGUCAUAGACCUCAUCAAUACUGGUCAGAAGCUUCCUGUUCUGAGAAGAGCCUGCUGGGCCUGUCCAGAGCUGUGUAAUAUAAUUGUAUAAGAGAAGUAUCUUCUAUACAAACCCUUUUGUACUAUUAUAUAGAAAUGUCUACUUUUUCAGCAGUUCUAUGAAUUGACCUAAAUCAAAGAAUGACUGUAGAAUUGGAAUGUCUGAGUUUACUUUGGAAUAUAUAUUAAGGACUGAAUUUAAUACAGCAAUGCUGGGGAGAUGGCAGGGAUUAAAAUCAUCAGGGACUUAGUUGAGGCUGUCCACAUUUUCCAAUAAAGCUGAAUUUCAGUGUACCUGAAUGCAUCCUAGUUUUUGUAAUGAAAAAUUCCUGUAAAGAGUUACAUUUAUUUACUUUGGAGAAAAAAAAAACCUCCACGUGAAUAUUCAGCUAUUAUUUUAAUGUCUCAUUGGACUACAUUAUUUGUAUAUUUUAGCAAUUUUUUCCUAUUUUAUCUGUCACAAUUCAUAUGUUUUUUCCUAAAUAAAAGAUGAAUUUGAUGAAUUCAAAUGAAUUUCAUUUCAUUUGAUUAGUAUGCCUUAAUGAGAUAGAAUGGUCGGUAUUCCGAUGUGUGGAUUAGGAACCAACUGAAAUUAAACCCCAUCACAGUUUAAUGUUCUGUUUAUUGUUCUGUUAAUUUAAAGUAGUAAGUCCAUGUUAUAUCAGAGCAUCAUACAGUUUAUAUAUGAUGGGUUUGUUUUUGCAAUCUUAGUGUAGGCAGUAGUUGUGUGGACAUGUGUGAGCUUUUCUGCUGAAGGCUGUGAGGGAUGCUCUUCUGUUCAUCUAGAGCUAGUUAUGGAAACAUGCUACAACCUGCUCUAGGUCCUACUAUGUCAAAAACUCAGAAUAUUCUGUGAAUACAACAAUUAAAGUUCCCUGUAGUCCUGGUUAUGCAUCACAAUAUGUAAGAUUCAUGUACAUAUUUUUUUAUUUUUUUUUUUCAAAUUUCACAAACCAUAAGAGAUGUCCAGUUCUGGCUAUAUGAUAAUCUCUAAAAAUGCAGAUUAUUUGUAAAGGUUUCUCUUUUACUGCCAUCAGUUUGAGAUGAUUACAUUAUGCACAAAUGGUAAAUCAUAUUCCCUGAUGAAUAAAUGAAGAUGUUUCUGA